GACGAACGCUGGCGGCGUGCUUAACACAUGCAAGUCGAACGGUGAAGCGCCUUCCUUUUUGGUGGGUGUGGAUGAGUGGCGAACGGGUGAGUAACACGUGAGUAACCUGCCCCCUUCUUCUGGAUAACCGCAUGAAAGUGUGGCUAAUACGGGAUAUUCUGGGUCUGUCGCAUGAUGGGUCUGGGAAAGAUAUUGUUUCGGUGGGGGAUGGGCUCGCGGCCUAUCAGCUUGUUGGUGGGGUGAUGGCCUACCAAGGCGGUGACGGGUAGCCGGCCUGAGAGGGUGGACGGUCACACUGGGACUGAGACACGGCCCAGACUCCUACGGGAGGCAGCAGUGGGGAAUACUGCACAAUGGGCGCAAGCCUGAUGCAGCGACGCCGCGCGAGGGAUGGAGGCCUUCGGGUUGUGAACCUCUUUCGCCAGUGAAGCAGGCCUGCCUCGUUUGUGGGUGGGUUGACGGUAGCUGGAUAAGAAGCGCCGGCUAACUACGUG
rnacentral:rRNA from 1 species